GUAACAAUUACGUGUGUUACCGUUAAUGUAUGGUUAAAAUCAAACCCUGCUUCACAAGGUUUGCUGUACGAACAUUGGAACAGCCUCAGUGAUUCUGUGAACAUUAAGCUAGCCUACAAUCAGAUUUAGCUAGUUAUUGAUACUCAGUUAGCUAUUGAUCUUUAACGCUUGCACUAUAACUUAUAUUUAUUUUCUUUUAAUUCACAUGUGGACUAACUUAAUGGUUAAAACGUGUUGUGUUGGGAAAAUUAAAGGUUUGAAAUGUGAUAUUGGAUGGUUUGCUAACAUUGGUUGCUAAUAGGGUAACUGAUAAUUAGCUGGUGUGGAAUAAAUCAGGCGGCACUUUACUGAUGUGAAGUUUGAAAGCUAUUUUCUGAACAUAAAAGAAAGAAAGUCUGACAGGAUUUAUGCAAGGAUACUGAAACACCACGGAUGGAUUGACGUAGAGCUAGUACUGGUAGUGGGGCAAAAGUGGAUGCUGCUAGUAACAGGUAUCGGAGGGGGCAAGACAAGGGCCAGCUAGCAUAGAGGCGAUUUUAAACUUCAGCGCUUCAAAGGUAAGCAGUUCUGCGUCAAAUCAUGUAAAUCAGACCACCCGCCACCCUCGUACAUGAUAAAGAAUAGCACCAGUAAAAGCAAGCAGUAUCCCACUGUUUUGUGUUGGCUCGAUGAAAGGUGAUACAAACGAAUUUCCGAAUCACAUUAUGUCGGCUUGGUUGUAGUUGUUGUGGCCAGUCAAUAGACAAGCUUUGAACCGUAGUUCCAUGUAAGUGUCGUGGUUUUCACCGUUUCAGUAUGUAGUUGAAUAUGGUAGAUCUGGGCAACUGGUCAACGCUGUCGUGUUUUGUCUCGGUAGACCUCGUAUGACGGUGUGUUGGGAAAAUACCGGCAGUGGUUUCAGAUGGAGGGUGCGACGUGCCAGAUGUACGCUGUUCGAGGGAUAAAACUGCCACGCACGAGAUUUUGUAGGCAAUGGUAAUUGGUGACGAUACCAUGACAUUUGAAAAGAAGAUUCAAAGUUUGAGUUUUAGGUGGCAGAGUAGAACAGCUGCGUGUGAAGUGUGGCGACUACCAAGGUAUCAACACCAGUUAUGGCUACGGGAUUUUAAAAGUACCUUCAAUGCACUGGGAACUAACGUGCUCUCCCCCUCUCUCUCUCUUCUCUCUUAAUCAGGGCCCAGGUCUUGUGGCCACAUCUGUCCAAGCUCCUACUCUGAUUGAACAGUUGGAUGAUCAGACUGAUGAUGAAAAGUGCUACACAGUUCUCACACAUCUUCUGACUCCGAAGCCGCUGCAGUGUAAAAUCUGAGAUGUCUUUUCUGGUUGAUUUUGUGCAGAUUUCUGACAGCGACAGCGAUGGUGAGGGAAGCAGUGUACCGAACUCUCAGAUGACUCGGACCAGGUGACCAAACCCAUGCAAAGCACAAUGACUGUGCUGAGGCGUUCCGCCCCCCUCCCUCUCCACACCACUCAAGGCACGGCGGCGGCCCAACCGCAAACUAACGUGAGUACACAACACACACACUUGUGUGCAUGCCACGCACUGACACUUUCUCUACAGUGACUUGUCAACUUUCCUUACAUUGUGUGUGUAUGUGCGUGCGUGUGACAGGGAGAUUAACAUGAGGCUGGACGCUUGGCUCGCUGCUGCGUCCAUCACCAGAGGGGCCGGGAUUGCUGCGGCAGCUGGCCAAUUAAAGGAGGAGGAUGAAGGAGAGGAGUCUGACGAUGCAGACAUCGCCAUCGUAUGCAGUCCACGCCCUCGCAGGAAAACCAGCCAAUGAAAAUGCUGGCAGCAGCAUCAGCAGAACACACCGGCACGACUGACAGAGCUUCUGAAGCAUGCAGUGGAAGACCUGUCAGUCAAGCUAAAGGUCCCGCCCUCCAACCUGCUGCUGCUGCACGGAGAGGCAGAACUUAACACCUCACACACUAUUGGCCAGCUAGGACUCUGCAUCGCUGACAUCUUUGUCUGGAACCAACUUCACAUCCCUCUUCACUGCACUACUGACACUGAGAUGGAAUCCACAACCCAACCACUAGUGGUCUGCAUUGGGAACCUGAAGAGUCUGUCAUCACCGCCAGGAAUGACCGCGUGAUCAUUCCCGUUGCAGACGGCCUGACUUGCACAAUUGACAAGCUGUUCAAGCUUUACUGGGUCUGCAACUUGUUAUAUCCAGCACAGCUCAGCUCUGUUUUCACCUUCUUUGAAUAUGUUUAUGACGUUCCCAUCUCAACCAACAAACGAACAAAGGCACUACAACUUCUCUCAAAGCUUCCCAGCAGCCCAGUGAUCACUCAACAUGUGUUUAUGCCCAAAAUGUAAAUAGUUACUACAGACAUCAAGAAAGUAGUUUGGCAUCUUUGUCAUGUACACGCUUUGUCAGAUGCACAGGAUAUGAUGAUAAUUUGCAGCCAAGAUGGCUGUUCAAGUGUACAAGGACUUACUAUGUAGACACCACCUACGUAGACACCACCAGUCCACAACAACAGAAAUGGGAGUAUCUUUCAAUGACUCUUUUGAAUCCACUGACAUUCAGACAGCCUAUGCAGCUUCAAGUAACACCUGAAGAAAGAGCAUUUUGUGUCCCUUCUCAAGGACCGAUUCUCCAUAAUUUACCACUUAAUGACAAUUUAUCUGUGUUCAUGCUUGUUAGGAUUAUUACAGGGAAUUAUUUUGAUUAUCAUUUUGGCAACACUUUAUUUUAUCAUUACAUCUAUCAGCUCUAAUACAUACAGUGUUAAUGCCUGUAUGCAUACAGUGUUAAUGCCUGUAUGCUGUAUAAGUAACUUGUAAGGCAUGCACUAAGCAAAAUCAAACAUACGUUAGGCAUGUAUUCGCAAAUGCCUUGUUCAUGCACAAUUUGGGAUUUAUUACCUAAUAUAACCUCAGUAAGGACCUAACAAAUGUUUGAUUUCGCUUAGUACAUGCCUUACAAGUUACUUAUACAGGCAUUAUCCCAUUGAUACUGGAUGUUGCGUUGUGCAACAUUGGCCCUGGCGCCUGUACAUACCUGCCGACCAUUACGCAUUUUGUGUAGCAGAUACGGAUUUUGACAUCAAACUACGGCGCUGUCACUUCAAAAUACGGGAAAAACCAAUAGCAAAGUGUGGCCCUUAUGGGCCCUUAUAAAUUGCUCUGUAGACUUGCAACCAGACAGAGCCGUAGACUUGGCUCUGCUUGCAAUUGUCUCGCGCUGGCCUUUCCAUUGGCCAGCAACGUGUGGGGGGGAAUAUUGACCAAUCAGAGCGCUAGUUUGGAUUUCUUCAUUUGUUGUGCUGCACUCCUCUCGAGUCGAGGCAUCAGCUGCCGAUAGAAAGUUUGCUUCGAAAUCACACAAGCAGAGAGACUGGUUAAUGUACUCCUAUAAUCUCUGAAACAAGUGUCCUCCUGUCAUCAUGUAUUAUCCAUCUUGGUACUGUCGCUGUAGUUUUACAAGUGAGCACCGUCAAAAUCACCGUUUCAAAGGUAAAUGGACUUUGAGAAAGGUAGCCUGUAUGGGAGCGUCCAGUUGCUAAAUCCGUAAACUUAUGAAAAUAAAUAAAGGCCGAGGUCUGUCGUAAUGAUUCACCCAAUGUUUCGCCGUAUUUGACGGAAAUAUGUUGUUGCUUGUUUUGAUAUUGGACCGAAACGAGAUUACUUCCGAAUGAGAAAAUGUGUCGAUGACCGCGCUAUAAAUUAGCAGAUUAGCAGCAAACUAAAUUCGGUUUCCCUUUGCGCCGGAUCAUUUUAACUCGGGGAAAUAAAGCGAUAGUUCUAACGGUUGUGCUCGGAGUAGGUCUACAUCCGUAACCUACCAUGACAGCGUAUAGGAAUACUUGUCGCCUUCACGGGCUCGGGACCUCUCGAGACAGCUGACGACACUGCUCACGUGACAGCCAAGUUCUGGACUGUGGCACAUGAACGCCACUGAUCCCGGAACAAUCGGAAAUCAUGCGUGUUUUGUUUUGGUUCUCUUUUCUUUUUUUUCACCUCCACUUGAGCCUCCACACCCACGACAUAUCAUUUUAGCUGAAGUAAGCCAAAUUUAACAGUCAGAGACCAGCAUUGCUGUCAUAUAUGCAUCUGCAAUUGAAUGACAUCAACUGGUGUUGUUGAUAGUGAUUACAAGACGAUAUUUUAGCUUUUAUGAUACUGUUUACAUGUCAGUUGCAUGCAUGGGCGCCAUGUUGAUGAUGCGUGUGUCGUCACACAAAACACAAGCUCGGGAACUCGUUGUUCUAUACUUCCGCCAGAGAUCAACCUCGAUAAUUAUCGAUCUGACAUUGCGUCACCAAAUGUUCACUCCCACUUUCCCGAGGUUUUAGGUCGGCUUUCUGGGGAUUCUCGACUUUUUGAACGAGGUAACUGUUCCCCCCUGAGUCAUGGCCCAUUCUGUGAACAGGUGUAACAGGUUGUGCGUCAUACCAAAUAUGCAUCACUCCACGACUACUAUCCGUAAUCUCGUAUGGCAAUCUAUUAAUAAAAUCAAUUCUCCUAUCAUAUGUGCCGAACAGUGAACAAUAGCCAACUCAUGACGGCAGAUGAGGAUAGAUAGGCCUACUAUUAUGCAGAGAAGUGAAAAAAAAGCGAUGCCCCUCAAAAGUUACCGUGGAAGUUCCAAGAGCAUUGGCCAUUAGCCCUCGUCCCUCAGUAGAGCCACUACAUGACGCAUUUUGUACUGAAUGAAUGCUGAAAGUGUGAUUUUGAUGUUAGCCCCCAAGGUAAUAAUAUUAACCUGAUAUCUUAGAUAACACUUGUCUUUAUCUUUUUUUCUUCGGCUGAUGCUUCUUCACAGUAGGUGACAACAUCAUUAAUAUUGGGGGAGAUGAUGUAAGAAUCAUUACAAUUCAACUUUUUGUUCAUAAAAAUCACUGAAAUGCCUCAGUAUUUUAUAAUCAAAUUAUACAUUUUCCUACAUGUACCUUCUACAGCCAAAAAAAUAAUCAGCAAAUGCUUAAAUUUCAUACUCAAUUCCAGCUCCUUAACCCCCCCAAGUGACCAAAUGCUCUGUUUGGCUGGUACAUAGGAUAACUUAAUAGCCACUUAGGCCUACUAGACUGGUGGUAUGUUUGACUAGUAAGAUUAACAGCCAUAUUGGCUGGUGAUCAAUAAAGUUAAUUUAGAGGCCUGAAUUCCAGCACACUAUAUCAUAGCAUUUUAUUGGUGUUAUGGUGUGAAACAAAACAAAAAACAUCUUUCAUGAAAGUUUAAUAAAUUAUGGUAGCACUGUGAAGAGCAAGAUAAACUAUUUGCCAGAUACACGGGAUGUUAGGCUAAAAUGCAUUCAAAUGCAGGAAAUUGCAUCUAAGAAAAGCAUUUUUUUCUGGGGGAGGACCCCCCUGUCUGAAUGAAGUGUCUCAUAUCUUCCCUGUUGACAUUUGGCAGCCCUAGGUGUAGGGCAGACAAUGCAAAACAAAGUAGCCUCUCAGAUGGGCCCGCCGGCGACCCCGUUGCUUUGCCAUGCCAAGUUGUUGCGCCGUGAAUUGCCGCGCCGCGAUAAGUUGCUACUCAAAAAAUUUUUCAAAGGUUGGCAGGUAUGCCUGUAUGUAUUUGUAUGGCAUCAGCACCCGUUUCUGCAAGUGCUUUAGGCAUGAAUGGGUUAACAUUGUAUGUAUUAGUGCUAAGCGAUGUAAUGUUAAAAUAAAGUGUUACCAUCAUAUGUUUUAAAAAUAUAUAUGUUGUAAAACUGGACGAUUGUGAAAUGAUGAUGUGGCAGAUGUAAGACCCAUUGAUGUAAUGCCGUUUUCAUUCAGAUGAACUGUCUCUUAACCCAAGGUACAAUGUCUUUUCUUCCAAUAUGUUGGAACCUAUUUCAUAAGAAUGUUAUUUUCAAGAAUAUUUAACACUACUUCGAAUUUCAAGACUUUCGGGUUUUGUAAUACACCGGUAAUGUUGUUAAGACAUGAUAGUGUACGAGUCAUAAUCAUCAAUACUUCAUGAAAUUCGCAGUGGUGUUAAUUAUUCUUGAAAAAGAUCACAUUGGUUAUCUCCCCCUCUUCUGAAAAGCCUAACAAAAAAGAAUAUGACAGUAAAGUUAAUGUAAUACAAUUUUUUUUUUAAAAUUGAAUGUAAACAAAACACAACGUUGCAGAGGUAUGUAGUCAAGACUUUUGAAGAUUGAACCUUGUAAACAAAAGUGUUUGCUAAAUAAAAGUAAACUCCCCCUGUCACUUUCCAUGUGAUAAUUGUCUGUAUAUUUUGAAAACUAGAAGUUUCAAGGUUUUUAAUGCUGUCACUUUUAUGUUUGAAUGACAACUCACAGAGUUAAUUUGAAGUCAAAAAGACGUCCACAAAGAUGACGUCAAUAAAACCACCUACAAAAUGACGUCAAAAACAUGUCCUCAAAGACCCUAUUUGGACUAGAGAUGACUCUAAUAUGGACGUAGUACAGACGUCAAAAAUGGACGUCCAUUAGACGUCCGAAAAAGACGUCGUCUGGAGUAACAGUCUGCACCUUCAGAUGACCUAAAUUAUACGUCCAAAAAUGACCUAAAAAAGACGUCCUUUAAACGUCAUUUUGUUUACUGGG